rnacentral:snRNA from 11 species
UGAAGGCGAUUUGGCUGUGACAUCUGUCACUCCAUUGAUUGUCAGGGUUGAUUCAGCUGAUCUGACUGGUUAGGCAGGUAUCCCCUUCCUCCCUCA